rnacentral:rRNA from 1 species
AUUGAACGCUGGCGGCAGGCCUAACACAUGCAAGUCGAGCGGAUGAAGGGAGCUUGCUCCUGGAUUCAGCGGCGGACGGGCGAGUAAUGCCUAGGAAUCUGCCUGGUAGUGGGGGAUAACGUCCGGAAACGGGCGCUAAUACCGCAUACGUCCCGAGGGAGAAAGUGGGGGAUCUUCGGACCUCACGCUAUCAGAUGAGCCUUGGUCGGAUUAGCUAGUUGGUGGGGUAAAGGCCUACCAAGGCGACGAUCCGUAACUGGUCUGAGAGGAUGAUCAGUCACACUGGAACUGAGACACGGUCCAGACUCCUACGGGAGGCAGCAGUGGGGAAUAUUGGACAAUGGGCGAAAGCCUGAUCCAGCCAUGCCGCGUGUGUGAAGAAGGUCUUCGGAUUGUAAAGCACUUUAAGUUGGGAGGAAGGGCAGUAAGUUAAUACCUUGCUGUUUUGACGUUACCAACAGAAUAAGCACCGGCUAACUUCGUG